AGUCACUGACAUUAGAUACCCCCGUAGUCCAGGGUGUAAACGCUGCAGACUUGGUGUUGGAGGCCCUUUGGGGGCAUUCAGUGCCGGAGAGAAGUUGUUAAGCCUGCUACUUGGGGAGUACGUCCGCAAGGAUGAAACUUAAAGGAAUUGGCGGGGGAGCACCGCAACGGGAGGAGCGUGCGGUUUAAUUGGAUUCAACACCGUAAAACUCACCAGGGAAGACUGUUACAUGAAGGCCGAGAUGAAGACUCUGCUAGAUUUUCAG
rnacentral:rRNA from 1 species